rnacentral:rRNA from 1 species
AGUGAACGCUGGCGGUAGGCCUAACACAUGCAAGUCGAACGGCAGCACAGUAAGAGCUUGCUCUUACGGGUGGCGAGUGGCGGACGGGUGAGGAAUACAUCGGAAUCUACUUUUUCGUGGGGGAUAACGUAGGGAAACUUACGCUAAUACCGCAUACGACCUACGGGUGAAAGCAGGGGAUCUUCGGACCUUGCGCGAUUGAAUGAGCCGAUGUCGGAUUAGCUAGUUGGCGGGGUAAAGGCCCACCAAGGCGACGAUCCGUAGCUGGUCUGAGAGGAUGAUCAGCCACACUGGAACUGAGACACGGUCCAGACCCCUACGGGAGGCAGCAGUGGGGAAUAUUGGACAAUGGGCGCAAGCCUGAUCCAGCCAUACCGCGUGGGUGAAGAAGGCCUUCGGGUUGUAAAGCCCUUUUGUUGGGAGAGAAAAGCAGCAGGUUAAUACCCCGCUGUUCUGACGGUACCCAAAGAAUAAGCACCGGCUAACUUCGUG